UGUAGCUCAGUGGUAGAGCAAUUGCCUAGUAUGCACAUAUCCCUGGAUUCAAUCUCCAGCA
rnacentral:tRNA from 1 species